UACGAAGGGGGCUAGCGUUGUUCGGAUUUACUGGGCGUAAAGCGCACGUAGGCGGAUCGAUCAGUCAGGGGUGAAAUCCCAGGGCUCAACCCUGGAACUGCCUUUGAUACUGUCGAUCUGGAGUAUGGAAGAGGUGAGUGGAAUUCCGAGUGUAGAGGUGAAAUUCGUAGAUAUUCGGAAGAACACCAGUGGCGAAGGCGACUGACUGGACAAGUAUUGACGCUGAGGUGCGAAAGCGUGGGGAGCAAACAGG
rnacentral:rRNA from 1 species